UCAAAAUUUACUCCGACUACCAGACCCAUGGCAAAAAAUUUAACAAAACCCCCGGUCCAAAGAGUGAAAGGGUGAGGGAAGAGUCAGCAAAUGAAUGACACAAGAAACUACAAAAGAAAAGCCAUGGCUAUAGAUCUGACAACAGCUCAACAUACAGUGAAGAACUGGGACAAAUACAUGACACAGAAGAGAAGACAUAAAAGCGGGCGAGGACUCAUCCUAGGAAUAACGUGAGAUGCCAACUUGGGACAUAAGACAGAGGGGUGACUUUGAAAGAGGAAGAUGGGAAGCCGUCAGCGUUUUUCCCUUAUCUCCAAGGAGGGGAAACUUUUGCGCUGAAGUAACCCUCCGGGGAGGAGCAGCAUCAGUGAACUGAGUUCCUCUCCUCUGCUAUGACCCUUCCUUUGAGUCUUCAUCAUUUCAUUAACUCCUGGCUGGUAGCCGGAGUAGCUCCCAUUAUCUUUACACAUGCAGAAUGGGAACUAAAGCUGGAGGAUGGACUUUGUAAUUAUGCGCUUUUUAAACAAGGUCAGCAUGCUGACUCUGAACCUCACAUCCAAUGGUUGCUCCAGAACAGCCAGAUUUCAUUGGUGCAACCACAUGAGCACACAAAGUGUGAAGGAUGUACUUUUCUUUUUUCACUGAACACAAUUAAAAAUCUCAUUUACGUGUAGAAAAUGUGCAGAAAUGGUAAGAACAAUAAAACCCAAUCAAUGAGUU